GGAUUAGAUACCCUGGUAGUCCACGCCGUAAACGAUGAGAACUAGUCGUCGGGAGGGUUUGCCACUCGGUGACGCAGCUAACGCAUUAAGUUCUCCGCCUGGGGAGUACGCCGGCAACGGUAAAACUCAAAGUAAUUGACGGGGGCCCGCACAAGCGGUGGAGCAUGUGGUUUAAUUCGAUGCAACGCGAAGAACCUUACCUGGCCUUGACAUCCUUGGAACUUAGCAGAGAUGCUUCGGUGCCUUCGGGAACCGAGUGACAGGUGCUGCAUGGCUGUCGUCAGCUCGUGUCG
rnacentral:rRNA from 1 species